rnacentral:piRNA from 1 species
UCUUGAACAAAACGCAGAGAA